rnacentral:rRNA from 1 species
UACGGAGGUGGCAAGCGUUGUUCGGAAUUACUGGGCGUAAAGGGCUCGUAGGCGGUCUUGUAAGUCUGGUGUGAAAUCCCUCGGCUUAACUGAGGAACUGCGCGGGAUACUGCAUGACUUGAGUUCGGGAGAGGGAAGCGGAAUUCCGGGUGUAGCGGUGAAAUGCGUAGAUAUCAGGAGGAACACCGGUGGCGAAGGCGGUUCUCUGGGCAUGUACUGACGCUGAGGAGCGAAAGUGUGGGGAGCGAACAGG